ACUCCUACGGGAGGCAGCAGUGGGGAAUAUUGCACAAUGGGCGCAAGCCUGAUGCAGCCAUGCCGCGUGUGUGAAGAAGGCCUUCGGGUUGUAAAGCACUUUCAGUCAGGAGGAAAGGUUAACGGUUAAUACCCGUUAGCUGUGACGUUACUGACAGAAGAAGCACCGGCUAACUCC
rnacentral:rRNA from 1 species